rnacentral:piRNA from 1 species
UCUUCUGACAUGCAGGCAGAACA